GACGAACGCUGGCGGCGUGGAUUAGGCAUGCAAGUCGAACGGUAUCAUCCUUUCGGGGGUGAGAGAGUGGCGAACUGGUGAGUAACACGUAGGUUAUCUACCCUCAAGACGGGGACAACCCAGGGAAACUUGGGCUAAUACCGGAUGUGAGCAACUUUUAGUUGUUUGAAAGGUGGCGUAAGCUGUCGCUUGGGGAUGAGCCUGCGUCCUAUUAGUUAGUUGGUGAGGUAACGGCUCACCUAGGCAAUGAUAGGUAGGCGGCCUUAACGGGUGGUCGCCCACACUGGGAUUGAGAUACGGCCCAGACUCCUACGGGAGGCAGCAGUCGAGAAUAGUCUACAAUGGUCGGAAGACUGAUAGUGCGACGCCGCGUGAACGAUGAAUCCCUUCGGGGUGUAAAGUUCUUUUAUAUGUGAGCAGUGCUUUCUUAUAUUAACAGUAUGGGGAAGAGAUAUUAGCAUAUGAAUAAGCAACGGCUAACUCCGUGCCAGCAGCCG
rnacentral:rRNA from 1 species